rnacentral:snoRNA from 1 species
UCGCUAUGAUGUCAAUCUUAGGACACCUUUGGAUUAAUAAUGAAAGGAAAUUUAUAAACCUGAGCAUG